rnacentral:rRNA from 1 species
UACGUAGGGUGCGAGCGUUAAUCGGAAUUACUGGGCGUAAAGCGUGCGCAGGCGGUUUUGUAAGCCAGGUGUGAAAUCCCCGGGCUCAACCUGGGAAUGGCAUUUGGGACUGCAAGGCUGGAGUGCGGCAGAGGAGACUGGAAUUCCUGGUGUAGCAGUGAAAUGCGUAGAUAUCAGGAGGAACACCGAUGGCGAAGGCAGGUCUCUGGGCUGACACUGACGCUCAUGCACGAAAGCGUGGGGAGCGAAACAA